rnacentral:rRNA from 1 species
UUGACAUACUAAAAGCUUUAAGUAGAUUAGAGUGUGCUAGCUUGCUAGAAUUUAGAUACAGGUGCUGCACGGCUGUCGUCAGCUCGUGUCGUGAGAUGUGGGUUAAGUCCCGCAACGAGCGCAACCUCGUGUUUAGUUGCUAACAGUUCGGCUGAGAACUCUAAACAGACUGCCUACGCAAGUAGGAGGAAGGUGAGGACGACGUCAAGUCAUCAUGGCCCUUACGGCCAGGGCUACACACGUGCUACAAUGGGGUAUACAAAGAGCAGCGAUACGGUGACGUGGAGCAAAUCUAGAAAAUGCCUCUCAGUUCGGAUUGUAGUCUGCAACUCGACUACAUGAAGUUGGAAUCGCUAGUAAUCGUAGAUCAGCCAAGCCGCGGUGAAUACGUUCCCGGGCCUU